rnacentral:misc_RNA from 1 species
GUUGAACCUAUCAAUCGUCGGUCGUCCGAAUCAUGCCGACGCAUUGGAUCGUCGAGGCGCGGGUGAACGAUACUCCGUAAGGGGGGUUCGAGCGGCGGACUUCGCGUCCGUCGUCUCGAGCUGCUCGUCGUCUCGUCGUCCGAAGUACAGAAGGGACCGCGCAACCACGCCGGCCGCACGUCCGAAGUCCGUUGGCGGACGGGGACGGCGACUCGGAGAGAGACCUCUGAUCGGCCGUCGCCCGCCGUGGCGGCACGGUCGGCGUGGAAGCGAAGGACCCAGCGCACACGAAGCUCUAACGGCGGGCUGCUGCUCACGAGGCGGCGGCCCCCGCAGACUU